rnacentral:rRNA from 1 species
ACAGUAUCAACGCAGAGUACGGGUUCACAUUUGAUCUUGAUGUGGUGUGAAGCUUUGUUUUCAGAUAUUAUCCAUGCUUGUUUAAAAUAGCACCGAUCUUUGGUGUAAUUUGCGGAUAGCUCAUUAAAAAAUCUGUUCUAUACAACAUAUUGAGAUAAAAAUACACGGAUAAACCGGUAACUCCAUUAAUAAUAAGUGCUAUCAUGGGAUGAUUUAUUAUCCCAGAACAACGACUCUUCGGAAGUUGGCAUUUAUUAGUAUUUGAACCAACUAUAUAUAUCUCUCUCGGGGGAUGUAUAUUGUAAUGAAUUCUAAUAAUUAAGCGGAUCUCUUUUUAUUUUUAUAGUAGAAAGUAGACAAAUGUUAUUAACAGAUUAGACAUUAGUUUGAUAGUAGUAUCGAGGACUACUAUGACGUUGAUGUUUACGUGGAUCAAAAGAUUGAUUACGGAGAAUUGAUUUGAGAAAUCGUCAAUAUUUCUAAGGAAAGCAGCAGGAGCGCAAAUUGUUCAAUAUAAAUACUAUGAAACAGUUACCAACUGUAAUUUUUUAUACAUUAUUUAUUUAAUGUUUUAUAAAAUAUUAAUAAAAUAUUUAUUCAAACCCAUUUUGGGAAAAAGAUGGCCAUUGCUUUGCCAGCAGCAGCGGUAAUUAUGCAUCUUUGAGUUUGACAUCCAAUUAUUGCGAUUAAAACGUUCGUAGUUCGUAUAUUUAAUUUUUGCAUUAGUGUUAAAAGGGUCUCCUUUUAUUUAUUUCUUUUAUAAUUUUUAUUAUAAUUGAAAUACGCUAUUGUUUUUAAAAAUUAACAUAUUAUAAAAAAGGGCCGUUAAAAAGUCUUUUUUUAUAAUUUUACCAUGAGAAAAAGAGAACGCUACAAGUGGGCUUUUUUUAAUGCUUUGAAUCAUUCAGCAUGGGACAAACACAACAGGCUUAUGAAAUAAUAUAUAGCAAUAUAUAUCUAUUUGAUAUUAUUAUAUUAUUUUAAUCUUUAUAUUCCAAUAUAAAGAUAUAAUAUAAAAUAUUUUUAAACUUUGUUAUGACGUUGGUUUUACAUGUUUAAGUCAUGAUCGAUAAGGAUAGAUGAGGAGAUGUUUGGAUUCCAGAGUUAGAGGUGAAAUUUGAUGAUCUCUUGAGGACAAACUACAGCGAAAGCAUUCAUCAAGUAUAUACUUUUUAAUCAAGAACGAAAGUUAGAGUAGCAAAGACGAUCAGAUACCGUUAUAGUUCUAACCAUAAACGAUGACAUCUCAAGAUAUCAUUUUUUUUUAUUUUAAUUAAUUUUAAAGUUAUAUCCUCAUUUUAGUAUGGGGAUAUAAUGAAUAUAAAGUUCAUCAAAUUAUCUAUUUUUAUUUAUGUAAAAAUAGUAAUUUACUCGACAAAUGAUGCAUUGUUUUAUGAAAAUAAAGCUGUCUUCGUGGAGUGUAUGUUAGCAAUGAUGAAAUUUGAAAGAAUUGACGGAAGUAUCACAACAAGUUUUGGAUUGUGCGAUUUAAAUUGACCCAACGCGGGGAAGCUUACCAGGGCAGAACACCGUGAGGAAAGACAGAUUGCAGCUCUUUCUUGAUUCUGUGCUUGAUAUAUGUAGUGCAUGGCCUUUGGCAAGUGGGUAGAGUGAUUUUUCUGAUUAAUUUCGAUAACUAGCGAGAUCCUAACCUUGAUUCUAUAUUAUAUUUUUUAUAUAGUAUAGAAAUAAUGUAAAUACAACUAGAUAUAGUAGUAAUAUACUAUACCUGCAACAUAUUGAAUUUAUUUUAAUAUGAGUUGUUCUUAAAGGGACUAUUUGUGUUUUAGCAAAUGGAAGAUUUGGGCGAUAAAAGGUCCGUGAUGCUCUUAGAUGUUCUGGGCUAUACGCGCUAUACACUGAUUCGUUCAACAAGUUUUUUGUAUUAAUAUAAAUUUCUUUACGUAUGAUUUAUUAUGCGUAAAUUAUAUUUACACCUGUUAUGAAAAUAAUGGGAAAUCUUUGAAAACGAAUCGUGCUGGGGAUUGAAAAUUGUAAUUAUUUUUCAUGAACGAGGAAUAACUAGUAAUUGUAUGUCAUCAGCAUGCAAUGAAUACGUUUCUGGUCUUUGUACACACCGCCCGUACUCUGC